CUUACAAACAUUCCGUGCUCUCUUGUAGGACCUCUCUUUUAGGUCAACUUGUACAGCACAUGUAAUGUAAUCAUGCAUUCUGUUUAAUAUAAAAUGAUCUAACUCUUAUAGUAUCAGCUCUUCGUUUCAUUCGGUUUAGGCUGCGCAGCCUCUGUACGCGCUCUGUUCAUAUGAGUUUACAUGUGUGUGCACAGUGCUGACUAACUUGAACUGUUAAUAAUGUAUUUAACGGUUUUAGACAAGGCAAAAUAUGAGGAACCCAAAUAAAUCGUUUUGUCUUUGCACUUGUGCAAAUCUCCAGUGCGGCUUUUCAAGCGACGCAUGCUGGUGUAUGUCUGUGAAUGUGUGAGUAGGUGUGCAUGUGUAAAUAGGUCUGUGUGUGUGUCUGAAACUGAAUUUGUUUUCCGUCUGCGACAACGUCAAGCGACAACAGGCGACAACGCGUGUACCGCAUUUCGUGAUCUUUUGCAGCUGACGUUGUGUUUUUUAUCUACAAAAAUUAUUUAUUUAUUAUUUAAAACUGUUUUCAUUUGAGAUUUUUUUCGCGAGACAAUGAGCCGUUUGUGUCUCGCUUAUGCAGCACAAUGAAAAUGUAGACAACAUACACAUGUAACUGUGAGUGUGUGUGUGUGGGCAUAAAUAUAUGUAUAAUUAAUAAUUGUAGGUUUUCUUGUUGCAGAUGCUGCGACGCUUAGCAACAACCUAAGCUUCAGCUGUGACUGUUUAUGCACGGUUUCUGUUCACUGGUUCACUCACACAAAUAAAACAGGCAGCAAAGAUGACGGUGAAGGCGGCGGCGACGGCGAGGCUGACGGCGACGGCGACGGCGACGAUGAUGAUGAUGACGGCGGCGACAACGAGAGCGGUGCAGGAGAGGGUGGGGGUGGGUGGCGUUUGCUCAGAUUUUCGCAGCGCGUACACACGACUAAAUCGACUAAUACUAAAUACUAACACUAACAACAACACACAGCCUGGCACGGGACAGUCAGCCAACCAGCUUCAAGUAACGCUCGAUAACAACUGACUGACCGAACUCCAGCCCAGCGCGCUCCAAGCGACAGCAGCGACGUCAGCGUCAGCGACAGAGACAGCACCGAUCGGGCGUCAUAUGUUGCUCGUGAGCGCAAAUUAACGUAAUGCUCUCGCUUACGUUAGUGGUCUAACGCUCUGGCGCUCUUUUACUCAUUUGCCCAUACGUUAGCUGGACUGACAGCCUGGAGCGGGAGAGAGAACGAGCAAGUGAAUUAACCAGUGAGCGAGUAGUUGUGCAUGCAAUUGAAGAAUUGGGCUAUUCUAUGCAGACGUACACAUGUACAUGCACGUUCUUAUGUGUGCGUACCUUAAGUAUUUCUUUGUGUGUUUUUCGACGCCCACGCAUAUAAAAUAUUGUCUCACACACACUUAUUUAUGUAUAAAAAUAUACAUGGAGCAGAUUGUGCUUAAGUGAUAAUCA